GUCAAAUAGUAGUGUCAGGAAAUCGAGUAGAGGUAAUAAGUGAGCAGUCGUAGGCUCAGAGCGGUGACUCUGCCAAGGCCUUGUAUCCUGGAGGCAGCCUCAGAUCCACUCUAGUACAUAACUUGAAUUCUAUGGAAAGUACUGCUUUGACAGUUCACCAAGUGGCCACGUGUGGCACUGCCUGUAUAGCCAAUACGGUCCAUUCUGCAUGUUUUCAUAUAUAAUACAUGAUGAUUAUGUUGAUUGUAUGGCUGAAAACUUGUUAUAUUCAAUAGCGACAUUUGAAAUUUGGCGCGCGUGGCGAUCCCGGAUAUGGCACGGGGCACUGUUUUGGCCUGGCCGUAGUGAAGGGGUUAAGAGUGAAGAUACAGGCCAACUCUUGCAUUAAUAAGUUGGACAGCACAAGACAGCUGAUAGGUCCAGGCACCCAACAGGAACAAAAAACACCAUGACUCUUGCAUUAAUAAGUUGGACAGCACAAGACAGCUGAUAGGUCCAGGCACCCAACAGGAACAAAAAACACCAUGACUCUUGCAUUAAUAAGUUGGACAGCACAAGACAGCUGAUAGGUCCCAGCACCCAACAGGAACAAAAAACACCAUGACUCUUGCAUUAAUAAGUUGGACAGCACAAGACAGCUGAUAGGUCCAGGCACCCAACAGGAACAAAAAACACCAUGACUCUUGCAUUAAUAAGUUGGACAGCACAAGACAGCUGAUAGGUCCUGGCACUCAACAGGAACAAAAAACACCAUGACUCUUGCAUUAAUAAGUUGGACAGCACAAGACAGCUGAUAGGUCCAGGCACCCAACAGGAACAAAAAACACCAUGACUCUUGCAUUAAUAAGUUGGACAGCACAAGACAGCUGAUAGGUCCAGGCACCCAACAGGAACAAAAAACACCAUGACUCUUGCAUUAAUAAGUUGGACAGCACAAGACAGCUGAUAGGUCCUGGCACUCAACAGGAACAAAAAACACCAUGACUCUUGCAUUAAUAAGUUGGACAGCACAAGACAGCUGAUAGGUCCAGGCACCCAACAGGAACAAAAAACACCAUGACUCUUGCAUUAAUAAGUUGGACAGCACAAGACAGCUGAUAGGUCCAGCACCCAACAGGAACAAAAAACACCAUGACUCUUGCAUUAAUAAGUUGGACAGCACAAGACAGCUGAUAGGUCCAGCACCCAACAGGAACAAAAAACACCAUGACUCUUGCAUUAAUAAGUUGGACAGCACAAGACAGCUGAUAGGUCCAGGCACCCAACAGGAACAAAAAACACCAUGACUCUUGCAUUAAUAAGUUGGACAGCACAAGACAGCUGAUAGGUCCCGGCACCCAACAGGAACAAAAAACACCAUGACUCUUG